GCGAUCUGCGCCGCCAUGUAGAUGAGACAGUUGAAACUGAAACGAGACGACGAAGUGGCGUGAGUUUCCUGCGACGAAGUUAAGGUAUUCCAUCACCACGCAGUAUGGUUCCUCGCGAUGACAGGCACCUAAGACCCGAGCAAUAUUGCGAUCCUCCAGAGCGGCUAGAAUUCUCACGUCUCUUUGGAAGUCCAACCUGUUCGGAAUCAGUUUUCUCCGUUGAGUUAUCACGGAAAGGUGCGCAAAUUCGAACUGACGUUUUCAAGGCGAGCUCUCGCUGUGUUCGCGUGUGUCUGUGCCAAUCGAUCAGUAUC